GAUGAAGAACGUAGUGAAAUGCGAUAAUUAAUGUGAAUUGCAGAAUUCAGUGAAUCAUCGAGUCUUUGAACGCACAUUGCGCCCCCUGGUAUUCCGGGGGGCAUGCCUGUCCGAGCGUCAUUGCUGCCCUCAAGCACGGCUUGUGUGUUGGGCUUCCGUCCCUGGCAACGGGGACGGGCCCGAAAGGCAGUGGCGGCACCAUGUCUGGUCCUCGAGCGUAUGGGGCUUUGUCACCCGCUCCCGUAGGUCCAGCUGGCAGCUAGCCUCGCAACCAAUCUUUUUAACCAGGUUGACCUCGGAUCAGGUAGGGAUACCCGCUGAACUUAAGCAUAUCAAUAAGCGGAGGA
rnacentral:misc_RNA from 1 species